rnacentral:rRNA from 1 species
CGCGUAGGUGGUUCAGCAAGUUGGAGGUGAAAUCCCCGGGCUCAACCUGGGAACUGCCUCCAAAACUACUGAGCUAGAGUACGGUAGAGGGUAGUGGAAUUUCCUGCGUAGCGGUGAAAUGCGUAGAUAUAGGAAGGAACACCAGUGGCGAAGGCGACUACCUGGACUGAUACUGACACUGAGGCACGAAAGCGUGGGGAGCAAACA